rnacentral:rRNA from 1 species
GACGAACGCUGGCGGCGUGCUUAACACAUGCAAGUCGAACGGAAAGGCCCUGCUUGCAGGGUACUCGAGUGGCGAACGGGUGAGUAACACGUGGGUGAUCUGCCCUGCACUUCGGGAUAAGCCUGGGAAACUGGGUCUAAUACCGGAUAGGAGCCAUUUUUAUUGUGAUGGUUGGAAAGUUUUUUCGGUGUAGGAUGAGAUCGCGGCCUAUCAGCUUGUUGGUGGGGUAAUGGCCUACCAAGGCGGCGACGGGUAGCCGGCCUGAGAGGGUGGACGGCCACAAUGGGACUGAGAAACGGCCCAGAAUCCUAAGGGAGGCAGCAGGGGGGAAUAUUGCACAAUGGGCGCAAGCCUGAUGCAGCGACGCCGCGUGGGGGAUGACGGGCUUCGGGUUGGAAAAUCGUUUCGCUAGGGACGAAGCUUUUUGUGACGGUACCUAGAUAAGAAGCACCGGCUAACUACGUG